rnacentral:rRNA from 1 species
CGAAUCAUUCACAAUGGGCGAAAGCCUGAUGGUGCGACGCCGCGUGGGGGAUGAAGGUCCUCGGAUUGUAAACCCCUGUCACCAAGGACAAAACGUCAUCCAUUAACAGUGGAUGGCCUGAUUUAACUUGGAGAGGAAGCAGUGGCUAACUCUGUUCCAGCAGCCGCGGUAAUACAGAGACUGCAAGCGUUGUUCGGAUUUACUGGGCGUAAAGGGUGCGCAGGCGGCCGGAUGUGUCGGGUGUGAAAUUUCGAGGCUCAACCUCGAAACUGCGCCCGAAACUAUUCGGCUAGAGUACUGGAGAGGGAAGCGGAAUUCACGGUGUAGCAGUGAAAUGCGUAGAUAUCGUGAGGAACACCAGUGGCGAAGGCGGCUUCCUGGACAGUUACUGACGCUCAGGCACGAAAGCGUGGGGAGCG